AAGCAAAGGCCUCCGCAUUAGGGUGAAGGAGCAACCCUUACUUUCAAUAUCCAUCAGCGAGCAUGCGUCUAAGAAGCUUCGGAAAGCUGCCAUUCUAUAGCGGUCUACCUCUCGCCUUCCUAUCUUCUCCCAAUGGGGUGUAUUAGUAGCCAUGAUUGGAGUUUCUGGCACAACCUCCUCAUCCAUGACAGAGAGUUCUAUUUUCCCAUAGAAGGUCUUCCAGUAGGGGCUAACAUCUCGGACCUCUACCUUCAACCACGCCCCAUAAUGCCCCGGCUGAUCUUGAGCUAAGCCGGUUUCCGCAUAAGGUAUUUCUGGGCAAUAGUUAGCAUAAUGUCCGAUGCGUCCACAAGAAAAACAGAAGUGUGGAA